GAUGAACGCUGGCGGCGUGCUUAACACAUGCAAGUCGAACGGAAAGGCCAGUGCUUGCACUGGUGCUCGAGUGGCGAACGGGUGAGUAACACGUGGGUGAUCUGCCCUGCACUUUGGGAUAAGCCUGGGAAGCUGGGUCUAAUACCAGAUAGGACCAUGCUUUGGAUGGUGUGGUGGAAAGUUUUUUCGGUGUGGGAUGAGCUUGCGGCCUAUCAGCUUGUUGGUGGGGUAAUGGCCUACCAAGGCGUCGACGGGUAGCCGGCCUGAGAGGGUGUACGGCCACACUGGGACUGAGAUACGGCCCAGACUCCUACGGGAGGCAGCAGUGGGGAAUAUUGCACAAUGGGCGCAAGCCUGAUGCAGCGACGCCGCGUGGGGGAUGACGGCCUUCGGGUUGUAAACUCCUUUCGCAACUGACGAAGCUUUUUGUGACGGUAGGUUGAGAAGAAGCACCGGCUAACUACGUG
rnacentral:rRNA from 1 species